rnacentral:rRNA from 1 species
UACAGAGGUCUCAAGCGUUGUUCGGAUUCAUUGGGCGUAAAGGGUGCGUAGGCGGCGCGGUAAGUCGGGUGUGAAAUCUCGGAGCUUAACUCCGAAACUGCAUUCGAUACUGCCGUGCUUGAGGACUGGAGUGGAGACUGGAAUUUACGGUGUAGCGGUGAAAUGCGUAGAUAUCGUAAGGAAGACCAGUGGCGAAGGCGGGUCUCUGGACAGUUCCUGACGCUGAGGCACGAAGGCCAGGGGAGCAAACGGG